rnacentral:rRNA from 1 species
AGUGAACGCUGGCGGUAGGCCUAACACAUGCAAGUCGAACGGCAGCACAGUAAGAGCUUGCUCUUACGGGUGGCGAGUGGCGGACGGGUGAGGAAUACAUCGGAAUCUACUUUUUCGUGGGGGAUAACGUAGGGAAACUUACGCUAAUACCGCAUACGACCUACGGGUGAAAGCAGGGGAUCUUCGGACCUUGCGCGAUUGAAUGAGCCGAUGUCGGAUUAGCUAGUUGGCGGGGUAAAGGCCCACCAAGGCGACGAUCCGUAGCUGGUCUGAGAGGAUGAUCCGCCACACUGGAACUGGGACACGGUCCAGACUCCCACGGGAGGCAGCAGUGGGGAAUAUUGGACAAUGGGCGCAAGCCUGAUCCAGCCAUACCGCGUGGGUGAAGAAGGCCUUCGGGUUGUAAAGCCCUUUUGUUGGGAAAGAAAAGCAGCAGGUUAAUACCCCGCUGUUCUGACGGUACCCAAAGAAUAAGCACCGGCUAACUUCGUG